rnacentral:rRNA from 1 species
AUUGAACGCUGGCGGCAGGCCUAACACAUGCAAGUCGAGCGAGCGGCGGACGGGUGAGUAAUGUAUGGGAAACUGCCCGAUAGAGGGGGAUAACUACUGGAAACGGUGGCUAAUACCGCAUACUAUCGGAUGAACCCAGAUGGGAUUAGCUAGUAGGUGGGGUAAAGGCUCACCUAGGCGACGAUCUCUAGCUGGUCUGAGAGGAUGAUCAGCCACACUGGGACUGAGACACGGCCCAGACUCCUACGGGAGGCAGCAGUGGGGAAUAUUGCACAAUGGGCGCAAGCCUGAUGCAGCCAUGCCGCGUGUAUGAAGAAGGCCUUAGGGUUGUAAAGUACUUUCAGCGGGGAGGCGUUACCCGCAGAAGAAGCACCGGCUAACUCCGUGCCAGCAGCCGCGGUAAUAC